AGGUUGGCAUGCAGCUAAAUAGCUGCAACAAAUAUAAUUGACGCUGAGCGAUGGCACCUCAGCACGAAAAUGCAGAUUCAUAACCAGACAUCAGCUAUUCUACGGCUUUUCCCUUUUUCGGCAACAUAGGCAUUGGAGAUGCUGUUUUGCCUAAGCUGAAUUUUGUGGAGAUGCAUUGCAAGGAUGACUUUGGCAAUUUAAUUACACAACUACUGCUAAAGUUUGAUCUCCUAUACAAAGGGAACCUGAUUACAAACCGUGGGGUGAGGCUGCAAGCAGCUUGGAUGCACUACUUCAAACUUUGGACAGGAAGAGGAGGCAGCGUUUACGGAAGUGGGAUCCGGUAACUACGCAUUUUUACAAUGAAGCUAUUGGGGAGUACAGGAAUGGUUCUUGUGUGGCGAUGGUGAUGGCCAAUGGCGGCUGUGGCACGGUCACGUUUAAAUGAGAAGAUCAAAAACACUUCC
rnacentral:lncRNA from 1 species